GUCCUGAGGAGCCUCCUGGCCUGCAGUUUCUGUGUGCUCCUGAGAGCGGCCCCUUUGUUGCUUUAUGCAAACAGACGGGACUUGCGAUUGGUUGAUGCUACAAAUGGCAAAGAGAAUGCUACAAUUGUAGUUGGAGGUUUGGAGGAUGCAGCUGCGGUGGACUUUGUGUUUGGUCAUGGCUUGAUCUACUGGAGUGAUGUCAGCGAAGAAGCCAUUAAACGAACAGAAUUUAAUAAAACUGAGAGUGUACAGAA